AUUGAACGCUGGCGGCAUGCUUUACACAUGCAAGUCGAACGGCAGCGCGGGCUUCGGCCUGGCGGCGAGUGGCGAACGGGUGAGUAAUACAUCGGAACGUGCCCAGUAGUGGGGGAUAGCUCGGCGAAAGCCGGAUUAAUACCGCAUACGACCUGAGGGUGAAAGCGGGGGAUCUUCGGACCUCGCGCUAUUUGAGCGGCCGAUGGCAGAUUAGCUAGUUGGUGGGGUAAAGGCCUACCAAGGCGACGAUCUGUAGCUGGUCUGAGAGGACGACCAGCCACACUGGGACUGCGACACGGCCCAGACUCCUACGGGAGGCAGCAGUGGGGAAUUUUGGACAAUGGGCGAAAGCCUGAUCCAGCAAUGCCGCGUGUGUGAUGAAGGCCUUCGGGUUGUAAAGCACUUUUGGCGGGAACGAAAAGGACUGUGCCAAUACCACGGUUCGAUGACGGUACCCGCAGAAUAAGCACCGGCGAACUACGU
rnacentral:rRNA from 1 species